rnacentral:misc_RNA from 1 species
AACGCACCUUGCGCUCCCGGGCUAUUCCUGGGAGCAUGUUCGUUGGAGUGUCGCGUACCUCUCAACCCCGUCCUUUUAUCAGGAUCGAACAGGGUUGGAUCGUGGCCCGUCUGUGACCUUUGUGAGGCCACUGGGCUGAAAUGCAAAAAGCUGUACCCUUGUUACAGGCGGCUUGACCUGUUGUCGUAAAUCUAAAACUCAACGGGGAUCGCCAGUCGGGAUGGGCUUACCAUAAAGUAACACCUUUGAUACUUUGACCUCCAAUCGAGCAGGACUACCCCCUGAACUUAA